UCCACCUAUGGACCCUAAAAGCUCCUGCUGCUACUAUGGAACUAGACAAUCACAGUGUCAGCUCUAGGAUGUACAUUCUGUCACAGAAGCUCUUCUGAGGGACCAAGUUAAGAAAAAGAGGAAUGGAAAGAAAGUGCUAUAGUCGUCCUCUGUCAUGCUCCUUGCCAACAAUGUACACAUUCCUGCCAGGUGCUGUAUUCAUCACUUUAAGCUCAAGUCGCAUCUUACUGGUAAAAUAUUCUGCCAGUGAAGAUCAUCAGAAUAGAAACUUGAAAUGUGCUUCCUGGAAAGAAUCCUGUAAUUUCAUGAAGUGGUCCACUCCUGGCUUUUUUUGCUUCCUGGAUAACUUGAUUGUCUUCUAUGUCCUAUCCUGUCUUCAGCCUGCCAUGGCUGUGUGUGUGUGUACAUUGUGUUAUCGUCUCAAAUUUUAGCAUUAUAACAACAGCUCUUCUAUUCAGGAUAGUGUUGAAGCCCUCCCUGGAAUUUUUUUUUUGGAAUCUCCAUCAGUCCUUCUCUCUAUAUUUACUUAUAAUGCCAGCAACCCUCAAGGUCUGGAAUAUGCACCUAGGCAAGAAAGGAUCCAAGAUCUAAGUGGCAGUCUUUGGGAACGUUCCAGUGGGGAUGGAGAAGAAGUGGAAAGACUUACCAAACCCAAGAGUGAUGAGUCAGGUGAAGAUACCUUCUAAUUGGUACCCAUAUAGUUGGCAGCUCUCACAAACUUUUAUUUCAUAUUUUCAGCAUUUGGAAUAUUUAUCUUUCUUUUCAUUUUGAUAAGCCAAGAAUGUUUUCAAA